GACGAACGCUGGCGGCGUGCUUAACACAUGCAAGUCGAACGGAAAGGCCCCUUUUGGGGUACUCGAGUGGCGAACGGGUGAGUAACACGUGAGUAACCUGCCCUUGACUUCGGGAUAACUUCAGGAAACUGGGGCUAAUACCGGAUAGGAAUCCUUGCUGCAUGGUGGGGGUUGGAAAGCUUCGGCGGUUUUGGAUGGACUCGCGGCUUAUCAGCUUGUUGGUGGGGUAGUGGCUUACCAAGGCUUUGACGGGUAGCCGGCCUGAGAGGGCGACCGGCCACAUUGGGACUGAGGUACCGCCCAGGCUCCUACGGGAGGCAGCAGUGGGGAAUUUUGCACAAUGGGCCGGAGCCUGAUGCAGCAACGCCGCGGGCGGGAUGACGGCCCUCGGGUUGUAAACCGCUUUCAGCAGGGGCGAAGCUUGUGGUGACGGUACCUUCAGAAGAAGAACCGGCUAACUACGUG
rnacentral:rRNA from 1 species